AAAUGAUUCUUAUCUCUUUUUGGAGAGAUGGCCGAGAGGAUUAAAGCGUCGGAUUGCUAAUCC
rnacentral:tRNA from 5 species